rnacentral:rRNA from 1 species
GACGAACGCUGGCGGCGUGCUUAACACAUGCAAGUCGAACGGAAAGGCCCUGCUUUUGUGGGGUGCUCGAGUGGCGAACGGGUGAGUAACACGUGAGUAACCUGCCCUUGACUUUGGGAUAACUUCAGGAAACUGGGGCUAAUACCGGAUAGGAGCUCCUGCUGCAUGGUGGGGUUGGAAAGUUUCGGCGGUUGGGGAUGGACUCGCGGCUUAUCAGCUUGUUGGUGGGGUAGUGGCUUACCAAGGCUUUGACGGGUAGCCGGCCUGAGAGGGUGAUCGGCCACAUUGGGACUGAGAUACGGCCCAGACUCCUACGGGAGGCAGCAGUGGGGAAUAUUGCACAAUGGGCGGGAGCCUGAUGCAGCAACGCCGCGUGCGGGAUGACGGCCUUCGGGUUGUAAACCGCUUUCGCCUGUGACGAAGCGUGAGUGACGGUAAUGGGUAAAGAAGCACCGGCUAACUACGUG